UACGUAGGCAGCAAGCGUUGUUCGGAAUUACUGGGCGUAAAGAGUGUGUAGGCGGUGCUCUAAGUUCGGUGUGAAAUCUCCCGGCUCAACUGGGAGGGUGCGCCGGAAACUGGAGUGCUUGAGCGUGGGAGAGGAAAGCGGAAUUCCUGGUGUAGCGGUGAAAUGCGUAGAUAUCAGGAGGAACACCUGCGGUGUAGACGGCUUUCUGGACCAUUGCUGACGCUGAGACACGAAAGCGUGGGUAGCAAACAGG
rnacentral:rRNA from 1 species